rnacentral:rRNA from 1 species
CGAACGCUGGCGGCGUGCUUAACACAUGCAAGUCGAACGCGAAAGAGUUCUUCGGAACUUGAGUAGAGUGGCGCACGGGUGAGUAACGCGUAAAUAAUCUACCCUUAUGUUUGGGAUAACCGAUCGAAAGGCCGGCUAAUACCGAAUACCCUUCAUUUUCGCAGGAUUAUGAAGGAAAGGUGGCCUCUGAUAUAAGCUACUGCAUAGGGAGGAGUUUGCGUACCAUUAGCUAGUUGGUGGGGUAACGGCCUACCAAGGCAACGAUGGUUAGCGGGUCUGAGAGGAUGAUCCGUCACACUGGCACUGAAACACGGGCCAGACUCCUACGGGAGGCAGCAGUGAGGAAUAUUGCGCAAUGGGGGCAACCCUGACGCAGCGACGCCGUGUGGGUGAGGAAGGCUUUCGGGUCGUAAAGCCCUGUCAGGUGGGAAGAAAUGGCUAUUAGUUAAUACCUUAUAGUCUUGACGGUACCACCAAAGGAAGCACCGGCUAACUCC